rnacentral:rRNA from 1 species
AUUGAACGCUGGCGGCGCGCCUAAUACAUGCAAGUCGAGCGAGAAGACGUAGCAAUACGUUUGUAAAGCGGCGAACGGGUGAGGAAUACAUGGGUAACCUACCCUCGAGUGGGGAAUAACUAGCCGAAAGGUUAGCUAAUACCGCGUACGCUCCUUGGACUUCGGUUCAGGGAGGAAAGCGAUACCGUGGGUAUCGCGCUCUUGGAUGGGCUCAUGUCCUAUCAGCUUGUUGGUGAGGUAACGGCUCACCAAGGCUUCGACGGGUAGCUGGUCUGAGAGGACGAUCAGCCACACUGGCACUGCGACACGGGCCAGACUCCUACGGGAGGCAGCAGUAAGGAAUAUUGCGCAAUGGGCGAAAGCCUGACGCAGCGACGCCGCGUGGGGGAUGAAGGUCUUCGGAUUGUAAACCCCUUUCGGGAGGGAAGAUGGAACGAGCAAUCGUUCGGACGGUACCUCCAGAAGCAGCCACGGCUAACUUCGUGCCAGCAGCCGCCGCGGUAA